AAACCAUGAUUUGGAUACUUCUGCAAAUAUUACUUGAAUCUCUCCUAAGAUUCAAAUAGUUAUUCCCCCAGAAGCUGUUUGAAAUCAUAUAUCUUGUCACGAAUUU